rnacentral:rRNA from 1 species
GACGGAAGGUGCAAGCGUUGCUCGGAAUCACUGGGCGUAAAGGGCGCGUAGGCGGCCACCGCAAGUCGGUUGUGAAAUCUCUGGGCUUAACCCAGAAAGGUCAACCGAUACUGCGGGGCUAGAGUGCAGAAGGGGCAACUGGAAUUCUCGGUGUAGCGGUGAAAUGCGUAGAUAUCGAGAGGAACACCUGCGGCGAAGGCGGGUUGCUGGGCUGACACUGACGCUGAAGCGCGAAAGCUAGGGGAGCGAACGGG